UACGUUGCAGUAAUAAAAUCAACAUAAGUCUAGGGACUAAAUGUCUGAAAAAGAAAGCUGCAGGAAAACAAAAAUAGUUAUCCCACUACCUAAUCAAAAGAUCAGUGAGAUAUGGAAUACAACUGCUUCCAAAGAAUUAAAAAAGAGUAUCAUGAAGAGGACAUUGAAGAAGUAGGAUGUGCAGAUUUCAACAUAUAACCAAAUAGGAACUCCAAAAAAGAAUAAAAGAUGUCAUCAGGAAACUGUAUGAAAGGAAGAGAAGAUGGGCUGAUCACAUGAGACAACAGGUGUUAUAUUACUACUCCCAAAUGAUAGGGGAACCCUGAACUGAUGCAGUGAAGUACGUAAAACAAUUUCUAUAAUAACAACAAUAAUGUAAAGAUAAAUAACUUUGAAAGACUUAAAAACUCUGCUCAACACAAUGACCAAUCACAAUUCCAGAAGACUCAUGAUAAAACAUGCUCCCAAUCCUGAUCGAGAGGUGAUGAACUCCGAGUGCAGACUGAGACAUACUUUUUGGACGUGGCCAAUGAAGGAAUUUAUUUUGCUUGACUGUUCACAUUUGUAACAUGGGUUUUGUUUUUCUUGUUUUCUCAAUGGGGCCUAGAAGGAUGGCGGGAUGUCAGAUGGAAAGAAGGAACUUCAUGAAAAUAAAAUAAAAUUUUAAUUUAAAAUG